rnacentral:rRNA from 1 species
GAACGCGAAGAACCUUACCCGGGCUUGAACUGCCGGCGAACGAUACAGAGAUGUUGAGGCCCUUCGGGGCGCCGGUGGAGGUGCUGCAUGGUUGUCGUCAGCUCGUGCCGUGAGGUGUCGGCUUAAGUGCCAUAACGAGCGCAACCCCUCUCUUUAGUUGCCAUCAGGUUAAGCUGGGCACUCUGAAGACACAGCCACCGUAAGGUGUGAGGAAGGUGGGGAUGACGUCAAAUCAGCACGGCCCUUACGUCCGGGGCUACACACGUGUUACAAUGGGGGGUACAGAAAGUCGGUGUGAUGUAAAUCAUAUCUAAUCCUUAAAGCCCUCCUCAGUUCGGACUGGGGUCUGCAACCCGACCCCACGAAGCUGGAUUCGCUAGUAAUCGCGCAUCAGCCAUGGCGCGGUGAAUACGUUCCCGGGUCUUGUACACACC